rnacentral:rRNA from 1 species
GGCCAGACUCCUACGGGAGGCAGCAGUGGGGGAUAUUGCACAAUGGGGGGAACCCUGAUGCAGCGACGCCGCGUGGGUGAAGAAGUAUUUCGGUAUGUAAAGCCCUAUCGGCAGGGAAGAAAUUGGACGGUACCUGACUAAGAAGCCCCGGCUAACUACGUGCCAGCAGCCGCGGUAAUACGUAGGGGGCAAGCGUUAUCCGGAUUCACUGGGUGUAAAGGGAGCGUAGACGGCCAUGCAAGCCUGGAGUGAAAGCCCGGGGCCCAACCCCGGGACUGCUCUGGGAACUGUGCGGCUGGAGUGCGGGAGGGGCAGGCGGAAUUCCUGGUGUAGCGGUGAAAUGCGUAGAUAUCAGGAGGAACACCGGCGGCGAAGGCGGCCUGCUGGACCGCGACUGACGUUGAGGCUCGAAAGCGUGGGGAGCAAACAGGAUUAGAUACCCCUGUACG